CGUCAAUCUCCCUCCACCCACUCUGCCCGCACUGGAGUAAGUUUCACGUGUGCGUGCUUCUGUGUGUGCACACGUGCUGAGUCACUCAGUCAUGUCCUUUGUUCCCCUGUGGACUGUAGCCCACCAGGCUCCUCUGUCCAUGGAUUUCCCAGGCAAGAAUACCGGAGUAGAUUGCAGUUUCCUUCUCCAGGGGAUCUUCUGAGUGCAGGGAUCGAAUCCGUGUCUCCUGUGGCUACUGCAUUGGUAGGCGGUUUCUUCACCAUUGAGCCAAGGGUUUUUUCCUGUAUUUUUCCUUUGUAUCUUAGUGCGGUAAGUGCCUUUCUGCUUCCAGGCUUUCUCCUGAGCCUCAACAGCUCUCUCAACCCACAAAUGUAGCCUGAGAAUGUAGGAGACUUAAUGCCUUCUGGGGCAACCUCCAGUAGAAGACAGAUACCAAAACACACUUUGUUGAAUUUUCCUUCUAUUUUCCUCACUCUUUCUCUCUCAGUUCCUGGGAUCAUCUACCAAAUAAACUGCACCCAAGUUCUAGGCUUAGGCUCUGCUUUUAUGGAGACUGAAGCUAAGACAGUUAGUAGGAAGUAGCGCUAGAAGCGGAGAAGGCAAUGGCACCCCAUUCCAGUCCUCUUGCCUGGAAAAUCCCAUGGACGGAGAAGCCUGGUGGGCUGCAGUCCAUGGGGUGGCUAAGAGUCUGGCAGGACUGAGCGACUUCACUUUCGCUUUUCACUUUCAUGCAUUGGAGAAGGAAAUGGCAACCCACUCCAGUGUUCUUGCCUGGAGAAUCCCAGAGACAGUGGGCCCCCGUCUAUGGGGUCGCACAGAGUUGGACACGACUGAAGCGACUUAGCAGCAGCAGCAGCAGCAGCACUAGAAGGCAGGCCAUGUGGAAAGGAAUCUACAACUAGAUCACCCACCAUUCAAAAGGCAACAGAGACCUCUCACCACUGUUGGUGAGUAGGAUGCUAGUAACCCCUAGCAUGAGACUCUUUGGUAGACUGGAAGGAGAUAUAAGUUGAAGGGGAAGUUUGGCUAAUAUAGUUAGUAGCUUGGGCACUUGAAAGAUAUAAAGGCAGCUGUAAUUACAAGGAUUAUGAAGGUGGUUAACUUUUCCAAAUUGCCUUAGAAGAUUUGAAGAAAAAAUGAAAGGCCCUUAGCCGACUCCACUCAGGGCAUGAUGUGAAAGCCAGAAAGUCUCCCAAGGCAACGUGUAAAGAAAUGCUCACUUCUGAGGCCAGGAAGUAAGUGUGAUGAAAACAAGGCUCAAGACUUAAUCCAAGGGCAACAGAGCUGCAGAGGAGACCUGUAACUGGAGUCAAGCCCAGCAGGCAGCAGUGAUGAGACCGGGACCUCUACCUGCAGCCACAGUACUCUGCACAUAACCCACCCCAUCAGUCCAGGCAAUAAACGGCAGCCGGGAUAGUGUCACGAGCCAGUAAAAAUGCCAGUCAUUUCGCUUUUACAAGAUGAAGAGUUAUGAGGAUGGAUGGUGGUGACGACUGUACAGCAAUGUGAAUAUGUUUAACACCACCAAACAGAACUCUGAAGAAUGAUUAAG
ensembl:lncRNA